CCCCUGUGAUAAGUUGUCAUGCUAAUACAGAGACACCAGUUAGGGAGUUUUACCCUAUAUUGGGUGUUGUUGAAAUAAACUCUUUCUCAUAAAUCCUGAGGGGC
ensembl:snoRNA SNORD9 small nucleolar RNA, C/D box 9